rnacentral:lncRNA from 1 species
CUGUUUCUCUCUUCUACUGAAAUUGCCCUUUCUCUCCCUCUGCCGACCAGCCUGACCUGGAUCCUCCUUGUUUCAGUCCCAGAAUCAAAUUGGAGCUGGAGCGGAGGUUGUUUUCCCCAGUCCUGAUUUUUCCCUUUCAUUAUAUCAGGCUUUUGGUUUCUGACUGUUUUCAUAAUAUCAUCAAGUUCAUUUCACGUGACACCAAGUUAAGUACUGUACAAAUGAAAUUGCACAGGUAUAUGUUCAUUUUCAGUUGAAGGCCAGCAACACUGCCCUGGGACACAGGGCACGUGGGCAGUAAGUGAACAAAAGCCUUCCAGCUCCUGUCCCAGCUCUCCUUCCCAGCUGCCAUGGAACGUGUGCUCCGGCAUUCUGUUACCUUCACCUACCAUGGGAAGCUCCUCAGUUUAAAAUAUUGUACAAAACAAGUUUCAGAAGUGAUGCAUGGCAGGAUUCAAAAGGAUGGACAGGCCACUGGUUGGAGAAGAAGACAUUUGGUCUUUGAAGAUGAUACUAGACUGUUAUCUGAACAAGCAAAAAAACCCCAAAAAACAAAAAACAAUUAACCUAGUUCCAAAGAGAUGAUCAAAUGCCAGCAACAGGCAAGAGAUCAACCUGACAGAGCAGAGGAGCUGACCUCGGAGUAAAGGGAGCCUGCCUCUGCACCGCGUUCUCGCUGGCUGCUUCUGUUUUCUAAAUGUAGCCUGGCUGUGCUCACCUGCGGGACGGUUCCGGCAGAGCGGGUGAGCCGUGUACUUGAAAGCUGGCAUUCAAGUCAGGCAUCGGACAGGCCUCCAAGUAACCAAGAUGUUUUGUUGCCUCUCGGGGGGUUCAGGGAGAGUUUUUCUUUGAAU